rnacentral:rRNA from 1 species
GAUGAACGCUGGCGGCGUGCUUAACACAUGCAAGUCGAACGAAGCAUUUAAGACAGAUUACUUCGGUUUGAAGUCUUUUACGACUGAGUGGCGGACGGGUGAGUAACGCGUGGGUAACCUGCCUCAUACAGGGGGAUAGCAGCUGGAAACGGCUGGUAAUACCGCAUAAGCGCACAGUACCACAUGGUACAGUGUGAAAAACUCCGGUGGUAUGAGAUGGACCCGCGUCUGAUUAGCUUGUUGGCGGGGUAACGGCCCACCAAGGCGACGAUCAGUAGCCGACCUGAGAGGGUGACCGGCCACAUUGGGACUGAGACACGGCCCAGACUCCUACGGGAGGCAGCAGUGGGGAAUAUUGCACAAUGGAGGAAACUCUGAUGCAGCGACGCCGCGUGAGUGAAGAAGUAGUUCGCUAUGUAAAGCUCUAUCAGCAGGGAAGAUAGUGACGGUACCUGACUAAGAAGCUCCGGCUAAAUACGUG